rnacentral:tRNA from 1 species
GGGAAGGUGGCUCAAUGGUAGAGUGCUUGCCUUGCAUGCAUGAGGCCUUCCCU